rnacentral:lncRNA from 1 species
UGGUUUGAUGAAUUUCGUUAUUUUUAUGGGAUUCUUGACCACUAUCUCUUAAAAUAUUUCUUCCGCCCUGUUCUCUCACUCUUCUUCUCUUGUCCAGAAGACGGAUCUGAGGACCCAUCCCCACACAGCCAUCAGUUACCUUCUGUGUGCCUGCACUGUGGAGGAAGCCUUUCUCCCGGCUCCUGCCUGCCUGUCAUCCUCCUCAGGAGCAUCCAGGGGAAGGCUUGUGAGUGAGGGAGCACAGACUGCCCUGUGUCUGGAGCACCCAACUGUUUUGGAGCGAUGCACUAGCCCACACGGGGCCGUCGGCAGUUGGUUAAAACCUAAGCUUAUUUCUCGUUCCCCACUUGCACCUGCUGGCCCUCUCUCCCAUGCUCUACUCCAGGUGACACCGUGAGUGAGUUCCAUCUCUCCUCACAAGGCCUUAACUCUUUGGAAUUCUGGUAGUUAGCUGCCUUGUGAUCUCAGCUCUCUGAUGGGUUUGAGAAAAACUGAUUGCGUAGCAGGUUAAGAUGGGGUAAUAUUUAUAGCUUUCUUCAUCCCAAGCGGAAGUGGCAUCUCCACUGGUUACACUUUGAAUUCAUGACUCCAUACUCUUUCCUGCUGCUGGGCAAUCCCACUCCAUCUCUCUGGUGUAAUCAUUCUCUCAUUCUCCUGGAUGACUGCUUCAGUUUUCCCUCUCUCCUCCUGCAAACUCACUCUCAGCUGAUGAAUUUGCUUCCCAUUUCACUGUAAAAGCAAAAGCAACCUUCCACCAACUCUCACUAUGACACCUACCCAUCUACCUGUGUCUACCCUCUGCCUUCCCUCCUGUUAGAGGAUGAACAGCCAAUGAUCCUAGCAGAGAACCACACCCUUAUUUGUCCAUCAGACAAUUCCCAUAGUCUCUCAUCUACUCAAAGAUGUCUCUCCAGCAUUUCUCUUCUCCCUCUCUGGUCAUCAACUUUCCCUCUCUGCCUCAAACAGCAAACUCUGCUCCCUUCUAAACUUGUCUAGGUAUACAAUAUAACAGAACCCUAUAUUUAUGUAUUUUACUUUCCCAUCAUGGUUAUGUCGGACUUUAUUGCCAUUUAUAAAAAUGGAGGCGGGCCUAAUAAGCUUCCUUUGCACUUUUCUAAUUCUUUCAAAUUCUAUUCCUGUAGACUCCUUCAACUUGGCGUGCAAAUCGCUGAAAAUACUCGUGCUGCCAGCAGAGGGCGCCCUCAUUGUGCCCAUGCUCCGUCCAGGAAGUGCAUAGUGGAGUCCAAAGGAGAUUUGGUCUGGGAAACAUUUGCCCGGGGUUUCUGGUUAUCAUAUUUCCCCAACAGGCACCUGUUUGACUGGCAUUUCCUGGCUCACACCCAUCUUAGCAUAUUUCUUUGUUGGUUGAUUGGCUUGAAGGAAGGUUUCAGUAAUUCAUUACUUCACAUCAUCAGCAGAGCGGAACCCCAUAAGCAAUUAACCCUUCACAAGCUGAGUCACCGGACUUUGGAUAAUACAGGAUUAGACCAUUUAGCUGAAGCAGCUCAAGUCUGUAAAUAUGCAUGGGUUUCUGGAGCCUUUGGCAAUGCCUUAUAUGGAUUUCCUGAAUCAUCAGCAGAACACAGAGAGUCUGGCUCUCCCCACCACCCUGCUGCUGGUGUGUAGCUGUAUCAGAGACAUUGCCUGGGAAGACCACGUGGGACCAGCUGUGUCUGAAACUCUGCUGAUUCUCAGAGGUAACCUGAUUCUUCUGCUUGAGUGGCUUCACGAAGCAGCGAACACUUUUCCUGUCCAUUGUUGAACCCCUCAUGCCUAACCCAGUGCCUAGAACACAGGCUCGUCAUAGAUGUGUGGAAUGAAUGGAUGAAAGAAAACAACGAAGAGCCAGUUGUCGGUGGAGGAUCCCAAAGGAGCAGUUCCGCCUUCAUGUUGAAGACUUUCUUUGCCCUGCAUGUUGUAACCACAUAAAGCUAGCUGGGAGCCACGUGGCUGCCCUCAUUGUUGCUCCUUGGCAAUGUUCUCUCUGUGCCAGGCAUCAAACAUGAGCCCCUCAGUGGGAUCCCUGCCCUGUGUGCGCCCCAAUACCUGGACACUUCCUGGAUGCUCCAAGAGGAUGGAGAUUUGCCCCUCCCGACUUUCCCAUGAUUAAUGUUUGUCCGUAGCCUUGUCACAACCAACCUUGGGAGUGUUGCUGGGUUCUGGUGGGGGUCCCUCCUGAGAGAGGCCUUUCUAUUCUGUGAGGUGAAUUGAAGGCUGUCAAACCUUUCGCUCAAACUGGUCUCAUCUGCAUCAAGUCGUACAGAAAUUCCUUGAAAUGUCUGGUAUGUGGGUGGAAUCCUUUUUCAGUUUUGAAGAAUGACAGAUUUUCCCCUAUCAUUAUUUUCCUUUGGCUGUGUCAAUGGGAGUUUGGAAGAGAGACAGGAUGGGAAGUUCAAUGUGAGGAUUUGAAUGCCUGUCACAGAAUAGAAGUCUGUCCUUGUACUUUUCCUAGUCUCUUUAGACAAAGUCCCCUCCACCUUAUAGCCCUAUGUAUGUAUAGCCCUAUGUAUGUAUGUAU